UACGAAGGGGGCUAGCGUUGCUCGGAAUCACUGGGCGUAAAGCGCACGUAGGCGGAUUGUUAAGUCAGGGGUGAAAUCCCGGAGCUCAACUUCGGACCUGCCUUUGAUACAGCACGUCUUGAGUCCGGAAGAGGUGGGUGGAAUUCCUAGUGUAGAGGUGAAAUUCGUAGAUAUUAGGAAGAACACCGGUGGCGAAGGCGGCCCACUGGUCCGGUACUGACGCUGAGGUGCGAAAGCGUGGGGAGCAAACAGG
rnacentral:rRNA from 1 species